rnacentral:rRNA from 3 species
AAAUUGAAGAGUUUGAUCAUGGCUCAGAUUGAACGCUGGCGGCAGGCCUAACACAUGCAAGUCGAGCGGUAGCACAGAGAGCUUGCUCUCGGGUGACGAGCGGCGGACGGGUGAGUAAUGUCUGGGAAACUGCCUGAUGGAGGGGGAUAACUACUGGAAACGGUAGCUAAUACCGCAUAACGUCGCAAGACCAAAGUGGGGGACCUUCGGGCCUCAUGCCAUCAGAUGUGCCCAGAUGGG